UUGUUUAGGCCAAUAAACCCCGGUGAUGUCAGGGAAGUCUGGGGGGGAAUCGGUCCCUGGGGGUACCUGCACAAACACCGGGUGAGGAUGCUCCCAGGGGAUGCAGUAACCAGCUUCAUCAGCUCCCCAGCAGACAGGUCCCAAAGGCAGAUCCCCAAAUGGAGCUAAGGUCUUCUCCAAACCUUCCUUUCCCCAUGUGGAUUUAGUGUCUUUCCUGGCUGCAUGUUGCCCCAAAAUCUGGAGCUUUUGCUGUAAUUCCACAGCUUUGCUGCAGGAGCCAAGGCUGGCUCUGAAGCCUGAAGGCACCGUGGUGCUUCUCCUGGGGAGAAAAGGAUGGCACAAGCCCUCCAGCAGCCUGGCCCUGGCCUCCUGCCAGGUGAGGGGCCCAGAGAGGUUGUAUUGCUUCAACUCCGGAAGUGUCUGGUCACCUUGAGGAGCUCUGCUCGGAGUCUGCCUUCCUCAGUGAGAGCGGGAGGAAAGCCGAGUAUCAGUGCACUUACUCACUUCCCAUCCUCUCUCCACCCAAACUCGUCUGCUCGAUGCCAGGACAAAGCCCUGCUCACCCAUUUUACUGCCGCCCCAGGGCUGCGGGUGGCCUCCAUCCCUGCACUGGAUUUGGGGCGAGAGGAAGGGCUUCUAGCGUGGUGCGGUCAUGGGCGAAAACCCAGGGUCGGGGUGGUUUUGGGAUGCCACAGCCUUACAGCCACCCUUAUCAGCCUGCAGCCGGGCUGGCACCAAAUGGAUUUGGGGGAUGUAGCCGGAGACCCCCCGCUUUUGACAGUGCCUUGUGAGAUGCGCAGUGGCAGCUCCUCAAGGGGGCUCAGAGUCCCCUCCCAUUUGUCGGGGGACACUUUGGCACCGCUCAGCGGCGCCGCCGCCGUCCCGCAUCGCCACCGGCCGUCCCUGCGCAUGGAUAUUCCCGGCCUGGGACCUUUCCUGCGAUCCUUGUGCCAUCUAGUGGGACCUGCACCAACCACACGGCGGGGUGUCCGCCCCCCCCCCCCCCCCCCCCCCCCCCCCCCCCCCCCCCCCCCCCCCCCCCCCCCCCCCC
rnacentral:lncRNA from 1 species